CUUGGUCAUUUAGAGGAAGUAAAAGUCGUAACAAGGUCUCCGUAGGUGAACCUGCGGAGGGAUCAUUACACAAAUAUGAAGGCGGGCUGGAACCUCUCGGGGUUACAGCCUUGCUGAAAUAUUCACCCUUGUCUUUUGCGUACUUCUUGUUUCCUUGGUGGGUUCGCCCACCACUAGGACAAACAUAAACCUUUUGUAAUUGCAAUCAGCGUCAGUAACAAAUUAAUAAUUACAACUUUCAACAACGGAUCUCUUGGUUCUGGCAUCGAUGAAGAACGCAGCGAAAUGCGAUAAGUAGUGUGAAUUGCAGAAUUCAGUGAAUCAUCGAAUCUUUGAACGCACAUUGCGCCCUUUGGUAUUCCAAAGGGCAUGCCUGUUCGAGCGUCAUUUGUACCCUCAAGCUUUGCUUGGUGUUGGGCGUCUUGUCUCUAGCUUUGCUGGAGACUCGCCUUAAAGUAAUUGGCAGCCGGCCUACUGGUUUCGGAGCGCAGCACAAGUCGCACUCUCUACCAGCAAAGGUCUAGCAUCCAUUAAGCCUUUUUUUCAACUUUUGACCUCGGAUCAGGUAGGGAUACCCGCUGAACUUAAGCAUAUCAAUAAGCGGAGGA
rnacentral:rRNA from 1 species